rnacentral:rRNA from 1 species
AUGCAAGUCGAGGGGCAGCAUGAACUUAGCUUGCUAAGUUUGAUGGCGACCGGCGCACGGGUGAGUAACACGUAUCCAACCUGCCGAUGACUCGGGGAUAGCCUUUCGAAAGAAAGAUUAAUACCCGAUGGCAUAGUUCUUCCGCAUGGUAGAACUAUUAAAGAAUUUCGGUCAUCGAUGGGGAUGCGUUCCAUUAGGUUGUUGGCGGGGUAACGGCCCACCAAGCCUUCGAUGGAUAGGGGUUCUGAGAGGAAGGUCCCCCACAUUGGAACUGAGACACGGUCCAAACUCCUACGGGAGGCAGCAGUGAGGAAUAUUGGUCAAUGGACGAGAGUCUGAACCAGCCAAGUAGCGUGAAGGAUGACUGCCCUAUGGGUUGUAAACUUCUUUUAUACGGGAAUAAAGUGAGGCACGUGUGCCUUUUUGUAUGUACCGUAUGAAUAAGGAUCGGCUAACUCCGUGCCAGCAGCCGCGGUAAUACGGAGGAUCCGAGCGUUAUCCGGAUUUAUUGGGUUUAAAGGGAGCGUAGGCGGACGCUUAAGUCAGUUGUGAAAGUUUGCGGCUCAACCGUAAAAUUGCAGUUGAUACUGGGUGUCUUGAGUACAGUAGAGGCAGGCGGAAUUCGUGGUGUAGCGGUGAAAUGCUUAGAUAUCACGAAGAACUCCGAUUGCGAAGGCAGCCUGCUGGACUGUAACUGACGCUGAUGCUCGAAAGUGUGGGUAUCAAACAGGAUUAGAUACCCUGGUAGUCCACACAGUAAACGAUGAAUACUCGCUGUUUGCGAUAUACAGUAAGCGGCCAAGCGAAAGCGUUAAGUAUUCCACCUGGGGAGUACGCCGGCAACGGUGAAACUCAAAGGAAUUGACGGGGGCCCGCACAAGCGG